GAUGAGGAGCUUGCUCUUCAAAUCGAGUGGCGAACGGGUGAGUAACGCGUGAGGAACCUGCCUCAGAGAGGGGGACAACAGUUGGAAACGACUGCUAAUACCGCAUAAGCCCACGGCUCGGCAUCGAGCAGAGGGAAAAGGAGUAAUCCGCUUUGAGAUGGCCUCGCGUCCGAUUAGCUAGUUGGUGAGGUAACGGCCCACCAAGGCGACGAUCGGUAGCCGGACUGAGAGGUUGAACGGCCACAUUGGGACUGAGACACGGCCCAGACUCCUACGGGAGGCAGCAGUGGGGAAUAUUGCACAAUGGGGGAAACCCUGAUGCAGCGACGCCGCGUGGAGGAAGAAGGUCUUCGGAUUGUAAACUCCUGUUGUUGAGGAAGAUAAUGACGGUACUCAACAAGGAAGUGACGGCUAACUACGUGCCAGCAGCCGCGGUAAAACGUAGGUCACAAGCGUUGUCCGGAAUUACUGGGUGUAAAGGGAGCGCAGGCGGGAGAACAAGUUGGAAGUGAAAUCCAUGGGCUCAACCCAUGAACUGCUUUCAAAACUGUUUUUCUUGAGUAGUGCAGAGGUAGGCGGAAUUCCCGGUGUAGCGGUGGAAUGCGUAGAUAUCGGGAGGAACACCAGUGGCGAAGGCGGCCUACUGGGCACCAACUGACGCUGAGGCUCGAAAGUGUGGGUAGCAAA
rnacentral:rRNA from 1 species